CCCUUAGAUGUUCUGGGCCGCACGCGCGCUACACUGACACGUUCAUCAAGUCUAUAACCUUGACCGAGAGGUCUGGGUAAUCUUUUAAAAACGUGUCGUGCUGGGGAUAGAUUAUUGCAAUUAUUAAUCUUCAACGAGGAAUUCCUAGUAAACGCAAGUCAUCAACUUGCAUUGAUUACGUCCCUGCCCUUUGUACACACCGCCCGUCGCUACUACCGAUUGAAUGAUUUAGUGAGUACCAGGUACCGAGCGCUUUGGUUGGGUUUCCUUCCCUAGCGCUUGGGAACUGUCGCAAACUUGACCAUUUAGAGGAAGUAAAAGUCGUAACA
rnacentral:rRNA from 1 species